rnacentral:rRNA from 1 species
CUAAGUACAGGUAGCAAAACCGAAACUGCGGAUGGCUCAUUACAACAGUUAUUAUUGAAAUAGUGAAUAUUUGGAAGAGUGAAGGCUGAGGGGCAAGCUCUCGCAAGAGGGCGACCCUUGUCUUUGGGAAUUCAAGAAUGAAAUAGAUAGAUGGAUAACCCUGCUAAUCGUAGAGCUAAUACAUGAAGUCAAGGCUCGAGGGAAAGUGGGAAGCAGACAGGCCGAGGCAUGGGGAGGGCGGAGAAGCGAAAAGUCAGCGCCCCGCAUUUGACAACCCUGCACCAACUCCGGGGCAAUGAGAAAGCCUGGAGUGGGGGAGGAUCACACGCCGCGCCCAUGCGAGUAGGUUGCUGGAGCCCACACACCACAGAGCCGCGUUUGUCAGCAAAGCGAGGAUGGAGAGCAGGCGAGGUGUUGCGACGAGGAGAGGGGGUCAAACUCCUGGAAUCGGUUGCGAUGGCUCAGCUUGAUAUUAGGAGACGAAGACAUGAGAAUGCAUCGUGGGGAAUUUGGGGGAUACAACCCGGCCACAGAUGACAAUGUCAUGAGGAUAAAAACGGACCGUUGGAUGAGUCAAGUCGGGGAAGAGAAGUGAAAACAAAAAGCCGUUUGUUGAGAAUCCAGCUCGACGGGGUCAAACUCGUUGGGAGGGAGAGGAGACAAAAUGACAAAAGCUGAUUUGACACGACGGGGUGAAUGAGUCUCCAAGUGAGAUAGGACAAAGGAGCAAAUUGCAAAUAAAAGGGAUAUCUUCACGGGUGUCUCUGGCAAUACACUAGAGAAAUUUCUGACCUAUCAACUAGAUGGUAGGAUAGGGGCCUACCAUGGUUGUCACGGGUAACGAGGAAUUAGGGUUCGAUUUCGGAGAGUUGGCCUGGGAAACGGCGAACACUUCCAAGGAAGGCAGCAGGCGCGUAAAUUACUCGGUGCCAAUACGG